rnacentral:rRNA from 1 species
GCUUGCUUUCUUUGCCGGCGACCGGCGCACGGGUGAGUAACACGUAUCCAGCCUGCCCUUUACUCGGGGAUAGCCUUUCGAAAGAAAGAUUAAUACCCGAUGGGAUAAUUAUUCCGCAUGGUUUGAUUAUUAAAGGAUUCCGGUAAAGGAUGGGGAUGCGUUCCAUUAGGUUGUUGGUGAGGUAACGGCUCACCAAGCCUUCGAUGGAUAGGGGUUCUGAGAGGAAGGUCCCCCACAUUGGAACUGAGACACGGUCCAAACUCCUACGGGAGGCAGCAGUGAGGAAUAUUGGUCAAUGGGCGCUAGCCUGAACCAGCCAAGUAGCGUGAAGGAUGAAGGCUCUAUGGGUCGUAAACUUCUUUUAUAUAAGAAUAAAGUGCAGUAUGUAUACUGUUUUGUAUGUAUUAUAUGAAUAAGGAUCGGCUAACUCCGUGCCAGCAGCCGCGGUAAUACGGAGGAUCCGAGCGUUAUCCGGAUUUAUUGGGUUUAAAGGGAGCGUAGGUGGACUGGUAAGUCAGUUGUGAAAGUUUGCGGCUCAACCGUAAAAUUGCAGUUGAUACUGUCAGUCUUGAGUACAGUAGAGGU